rnacentral:lncRNA from 1 species
UGAGAAGUGCAUCAAGGUAAGGCAACGUAAAGGGCAUGGGACGACAAAGGCAAGGCAAGGCUACACAAUGCAAGGAAAGGCAAAGGGAAGGGAAGGGAAGCUAAGUUAGGCAAAGGCAAGGCAAGGCAAAUGCAAGGUAAGGCAAGGCUAGGGGAGGCGCUUCAAGGCAAGGUAUGGGAACAUUAGGGAAAGGUAAGGGAAGACAAAUAAAAGGCUAGGUAAGACAAGGCAAGACAAGAAAAGGCAAGGCAAGACAAAGAUGCAACAAGGGAAGGCAAGGUCAGACAAAGGCAAGACAAGACAAGGUAAAGGAAAGACAAGGCAUGGAAAAGGUAAGUCAAAGCAAAGGCAAGACAAGGCAAUAACCAAUAAAAAAUUACAUGUGUUGUAAAAAGUGGAUGACCCACAUGUUAAAAGUGGAAAACAAUGUUAGAAGUGAAACACUAGGUUCUACGCAGAGUUGAAGACUUCUUG